rnacentral:rRNA from 1 species
CCUACGGGGGGCUGCAGUGGGGAAUAUUGGACAAUGGGCGAAAGCCUGAUCCAGCCAUGCCGCGUGUGUGAAGAAGGCCUUCGGGUUGUAAAGCACUUUCAGUGGGGAAGAAAGCCUUGGGGCUAAUACCCUCGAGGAAGGACAUCACCCACAGAAGAAGCACCGGCUCAACUCCGUGCCAGCAGCCGCGGUAAUACGGAGGGUGCGAGCGUUAAUCGGAAUUACUGGGCGUAAAGCGCGCGUAGGCGGUCUGAUAAGCCGGUUGUGAAAGCCCCGGGCUCAACCUGGGAACGGCAUCCGGAACUGUCAGGCUAGAGUGCAGGAGAGGAAGGUAGAAUUCCCGGUGUAGCGGUGAAAUGCGUAGAGAUCGGGAGGAAUACCAGUGGCGAAGGCGGCCUUCUGGACUGACACUGACGCUGAGGUGCGAAAGCGUGGGUAGCAAACAGGAUUAGAUACCCCUGUAGUC